CAUUGUAUAACAAAACAAUAUAUAGAGUUGUAGCCAAACAAUAUUUGAGUACUUAGACUAAUAUUUAAUAGCAAUGUUUAGCCAAAAAAUAACCUAGGAAUUUUUAUACUUUCAUUGUACUUGAAGCUAUAGUUGUUAAAUAUAUAAGAGUCACGUAAGGCCACCCGUAGUAUGUCAUGGACAAUUUUUUCCCUGAUGUUAUCAACGUCUUUCUUGCUCCAAAGUACCGGCUCACCCAGAGAUAUGUAUUCCAUGACGGCCAUUACGUAUAGUCCGGUCUCUUCAGGGGUUUUAUAGAAUGCUUGAGGAAAACUAGGUGAUCUUUCACAAACCCAACUAGACAACUUGUGGUCGUAAUGAUCCAACCAUUACAACAUAGUAUAAGAUUUUUGCAAUGAAUUUGAAUUUAAAUUUGACCUCGCGGGCUUUUCCUUUUUGAAAUGAUGAAUUGAUUGACAUCCGGAGAGGAUUCACAAUCCGGAGAAGAUAAAUGCCAGUCGAUAUCUUCUAUCAAAUGUUCUACUACGAAGUCAACUCUUCUCUUAUCAGAAUCUGAAAAAUCAGCAGUUCUUUAGUUAUUAUUAGCAGACAUCAUAAUACUAAUAGCAUUGAAUAACAAGGAAGUAUAUGUGAAGUUCUACAAGUCCAUGAUAUUAUCGCAGUUAAAUAUUUCUAAUUAUCACCCAUUUUUUUCGGUUAUUUGAUCUCAGUAAAAUCAGUAUUUUUGCUAAUAUAAAUUCAAAAAAUCAUUUACCUUAAACAGCACGUCAGAGAGAUUGUACGCUGUGUUGGUGUUUCCAUCUUACGUUUAUUCGAUUUCUCCUUACUUGAAUUAGACAUUUUCCUGUCAACAUGCAAUGAAACAAGCACAACGAAAAAUCAUAUUCAUAAAAUGGAAGAAUUUAAAAUUAAUAAUUAGUUGAUAGGAAAUAAAUAUUUAUUGGAAAUAAAGAAGACCAAAUCAAAAUGAUAUUGAGAGAAAAUUAACAUAAAGUUGAAAAUUCGAUAGAAGAACACAAACAUAAAAAUCAAUAUAACAUAAAUAGACAAACAUAAGAAGAAUGGACAAAACAAAACUUAAAUCCAUUAAUCAAUAAACAAAACAGAGUAGAAGACGAACAUAAAAAUUUUAACUAAGUUCGAAGAAGAAGAACAGUGGGUAUAAAAAAAACGGAGGGUACGAAGAAGAAGAAGAACAACGGGGAAUAAAGAAUUCUGGUGAAUAAAGGUUUAUCUAAGAAAGCGGAAUAACAAUGGAUGAUAGGGUAUAUAAAAACCAAAAAGAAACGACAACAAUAUGACUGAAGCUAUUUUUCGUAUCCGGUAGACGGAGAGAAAUAUAAAAAUAAACAUGACUAAUGGAUGUGUCGCGGGAGAAAAUCAGUUCAAGAAUUCUUACCCGAAGUUCGCAAGCUCAACAUCGCGGACUGCAAUUUUAUCAGUUCAGCAAAAUACAUUAGCAGAAUAUUUAAAUUAGUAAAUAUACACAGAAUAUUUAGUACUGUAUAUUUUACAUACAAAUAUUGCCACUUGCUGGAACAGAUGAUUUUUUAGGAUCUUUGUUUUCGGAUGUAGAAUUAUGUUUUUUCUUUGAAGUAUGAUCAGAACAUGAAGAAGAAAUUUUCUUUGAAAACCUUCAAUGAAGAUUACCUAGAUAUAAACAAACAACCAAUGUUUUGACUCAAAAAAAUAAAAAUAAUAAUGGAAUACACAAUGAUUUGAUUAAGAAAUAAGAAUAAAUACAAACAGAGAAAUAAAAUUAUGUUUUAAAAUGAAUUAAGAAAAAGUUGGAAUCAAGAAACCUUACAUAUGCCAAAAAAAACAUAAAAAAAAUUAAAGAUAUACAAACAGAAUUCGAUUUUUAGAGGAAAAGGCUAAAUAGUAGAAGAAAAUAAAAUUGCGAUUGAAAAAAAAAACAAGAUGAAGAUAAAAAAAUAGCAGAGCAUGAAGAUAAAAGAUAAAACAUGUUUUUUUUCAAGAGCAUGAAAAUAACAAGAGUAAAUAUCUUCAAACAUAACAGAAGUAUAAAAUUAUGAAAAAAGAACAGAACAGUAUGGAAUAGUAUGGAAUAUAGUAUAAAACUAGAGUAUAAAAUGAAGAACAUACACAGCAGAUAGAGUCACACAGCAGAUUGAAAUGAAGAAAAACUCAC
rnacentral:lncRNA from 1 species